rnacentral:rRNA from 1 species
GAUGAACGCUGGCGGCGUGCCUAAUAUAUGCAAGUCGAGCGAAUGGAUUAAGAGCUUGCUCUUAUGAAGUUAGCGGCGGACGGGUGAGUAACACGUGGGUAACCUGCCCAUAAGACUGGGAUAACUCCGGGAAACCGGGGCUAAUACCGGAUAACAUUUUGAACCGCAUGGUUCGAAAUUGAAAGGCGGCUUCGGCUGUCACUUAUGGAUGGACCCGCGUCGCAUUAGCUAGUUGGUGAGGUAACGGCUCACCAAGGCAACGAUGCGUAGCCGACCUGAGAGGGUGAUCGGCCACACUGGGACUGAGACACGGCCCAGACUCCUACGGGAGGCAGCAGUAGGGAAUCUUCCGCAAUGGACGAAAGUCUGACGGAGCAACGCCGCGUGAGUGAUGAAGGCUUUCGGGUCGUAAAACUCUGUUGUUAGGGAAGAACAAGUGCUAGUUGAAUAAGCUGGCACCUUGACGGUACCUAAUCAGAAAGCCACGGCUAACUACGUGCCAGCCGCCGCUGUAA